GAAAAAAACAACAGGCAUUCAGUCAAUUUUUAACGAUGAAGGCUACAAAUUCAACGUCACUUUUUGCAUUGAACAGAGAUGUUCGGAUGAUCUGGGUUGGAAUACUAUAUUUUGCGAUUUCAAUAUUUAUUCCUCCAUUAUUUUAUGUAAUUAUGAAGAUAAUUUAUAAACAAGAUAAAACAACUCCAAACUUUACAUAUAAAUUGAUGAAUUUUAUUUUAUUACUCCAGCUUUUGCAAGGAAUUUGUCAUUUUAUAACAUCCCCAAUACUUGUAUUCCCUGCUUUGCUUACCGAAUUUGAAGUUAUUGUUCGGAUACUUGGAUGCAUGGCAAAUACCAGCUGGAUAGGUGAAUUACCAAUGAUGGCUCUCUUAGCGAUCUGCCGAGUUUUAAUUUUUGCCAACUCAAUGGAAAUUCGUAUAACUCCUUUAGUAGUGAAAAUGAUAGUGGUUUGCAUUUGUUCCAUAUGCAGAACUGUUUGAUAUGCUCGAAAUAUUUUUAACAGUUCCGUGCUUGGCGAUAUCUUAUUUCGCCUACCUCACUAUAAUUUUUCUGAUUUGCUCUAAAAGAAAUCGAAACGGCAGUAAUCAAUCGAGGAAAAAUGAAAUACGGAUUCUCAUUCAGUCGACAUUUGUAACCACAUACAUGGCAUGCCUAGUGGUUGUAUGGCAUCCAAAACAUAGCAAUUGCAAAUGGUUUUUGGAUUCUGCACAGCUACUGUCAUCCAAUUAUUAUAUUGAUAUUUCAUAAGACAAUUCGGAUUGAUUGCUUGCUGAAACUGAAAUUAAGAUAUAACAGUUCAACUCAACAACGUGUUUGGAAACCACCAAGAUCUUCAUGA
rnacentral:misc_RNA from 1 species